UGGGGAAUAUUGCACAAUGGAGGGAACUCUGAUGCAGCGACGCCGCGUGAACGAAGAAGGCUUUCGAGUCGUAAAGUUCUUUUAUAUGGGAAGAUAAUGACGGUACCAUAAGAAAAAGCCCCGGCUAACUACGUGCCAGCAGCCGCGGUAAUACGUAGGGGGCUAGCGUUGUCCGGAAUCACUGGGCGUAAAGGGUUCGCAGGCGGAAAUGCAAGUCAGGUGUAAAAGGCAGUAGCUUAACUACUGUAAGCAUUUGAAACUGCAUAUCUUGAGAAGAGUAGAGGUAAGUGGAAUUUUUAGUGUAGCGGUGAAAUGCGUAGAUAUUAAAAAGAAUACCGGUGGCGAAGGCGACUUACUGGGCUCAUUCUGACGCUGAGGAACGACAGCGUGGGUAGCAAACAGG
rnacentral:rRNA from 2 species